rnacentral:rRNA from 1 species
UACGUAGGGUGCAAGCGUUGUCCGGAAUUAUUGGGCGUAAAGAGCUCGUAGGCGGUUUGUCGCGUCUGCUGUGAAAACCCGAGGCUCAACCUCGGGCCUGCAGUGGGUACGGGCAGACUAGAGUGCGGUAGGGGAGAUUGGAAUUCCUGGUGUAGCGGUGGAAUGCGCAGAUAUCAGGAGGAACACCAAUGGCGAAGGCAGAUCUUUGUGCCGUAACUGACGCUGAGGAGCGAAAGCAUGGGGAGCGAACAGG